UACGGAGGGGGCUAGCGUUGUUCGGAAUUACUGGGCGUAAAGCGCACGUAGGCGGAUCGAUCAGUCAGGGGUGAAAUCCCGGGGCUCAACCUCGGAACUGCCUUUGAUACUGCAAAUCUCGAGUCCGGAAGAGGUGAGUGGAAUUCCUAGUGUAGAGGUGAAAUUCGUAGAUAUUAGGAAGAACACCAGUGGCGAAGGCGGCUCACUGGUCCGGUACUGACGCUGAGGUGCGAAAGCGUGGGGAGCAAACAGG
rnacentral:rRNA from 1 species